GAUGAACGCUGGCGGCGUGCCUAAUACAUGCAAGUCGAGCGAACAGACGAGGAGCUUGCUCCUCUGACGUUAGCGGCGGACGGGUGAGUAACACGUGGAUAACCUACCUAUAAGACUGGGAUAACUUCGGGAAACCGGAGCUAAUACCGGAUAAUAUAUUGAACCGCAUGGUUCAAUAGUGAAAGACGGUUUUGCUGUCACUUAUAGAUGGAUCCGCGCCGCAUUAGCUAGUUGGUAAGGUAACGGCUUACCAAGGCAACGAUGCGUAGCCGACCUGAGAGGGUGAUCGGCCCCACGGGAACUGGGACACGGUCCAGACUCCUACGGGAGGCAGCAGUAGGGAAUCUUCCGCAAUGGGCGAAAGCUUGACGGAGCAACGCCGCGUGAGGGAUGAAGGUCUUCGGAUUGUAAAACUCUGUUAUUAGGGAAGAACAAAUGUGUAGGUAACUAUGCACGUCUUGACGGUACCUAAUCAGAAAGCCACGGCUAACUACGUG
rnacentral:rRNA from 1 species